rnacentral:tRNA from 4 species
GCGGGUGUAGCUCAGCGGCGAGAGCAUCUGCUUGCCAUGCAGAAGGUCGGGGGUUCGAAUCCCCUCACCCGCUCCA